UUUUCAGCCGCCGCGGUAAUACGUAGGGUGCAAGCGUUAAUCGGAAUUACUGGGCGUAAAGCGUACGCAGGCGGCUAUGUAAGACAGGUGUGAAAUCCCCGGGCCUAACCUGGGAACUGCAUUUGUGACUGCAUAGCUAGAGUCCGUCAGAGGGGGGUGGAAUUCCACGUGUAGCAGUGAAAUGCGUAGAGAUGUGGAGGAACACCGAUGGCGAAGGCAGCCCCCUGGGAUGAGACUGACGCUCAUGUACGAAAGCGUGGGGAGCAAACAGGAUUAGAAACCCCAGUAGUCC
rnacentral:rRNA from 1 species